CUUUGACCUCGGAUCAGGUAGGGAUACCCGCUGAACUUAAGCAUAUCAAUAAGCGGAGGA
rnacentral:rRNA from 3 species